AGAAACAGCCAUAUCACCCGCCAGCCCAAGACUGUUCGCCCACUGAAGCUAAGCAGGGUUGAGCCUGGUCAGUACCUGGAUGGGAGACCUCCUGGGAAACCUAGGUUCCUGUUGGAA
rnacentral:rRNA from 1 species